UACGGAGGGUGCAAGCGUUAUCCGGAUUCACUGGGUUUAAAGGGCGCGCAGGCGGAUUAGUAAGUCAGUGGUGAAAGCCUUAAGCUUAACUUGGGAACUGCCAUUGAUACUAUUAGUCUUGAAUGUUGUUGAGGUUUGCGGAAUGGGUCAUGUAGCGGUGAAAUGCAUAGAUAUGACCCGGAACACCUAUUGCGAAGGCAGCAGGCUAAACAAAUAUUGACGCUGAGGCUCGAAAGCGUGGGGAUCAAACAGG
rnacentral:rRNA from 1 species